AGUCUCUUUAUAGAGUGAUUCAAGUUGGGAAACUUUGAAAACAAUUCUGAUGCUCUGAAUAUGUCAAUAAUUUACUUCAUUCACACCUUUCUGUAUUCACAAGUAUGUGAUUCUAUAAUUAGCAAAUUGAAUUUUGUGAUGGUUAAGAAUGGUAGUUAUGAACAAUUUUUAUGGGGGAAGAGUUCAUUUGGAAAGCUUAUUGCAUUGUGGAGACAGAAUUUUUUUGUUGAGAAACAGUUAUACUCGAUGGGGGGAAUGCCUCACGUGCUGAAUGUUUGUAUGUAUGAAUGAUGUUCUGAGGUAGACAGUACGAUAGCCGAGUGGGUGGGAAAUGUAAUUCCCUAAAUUUUCAAUUGGCAGGUGGUUGGAAUCAAAGUUAAGUACGAGAAAUUUAUGGUUGGUAAGUUCAGCAAGUUUGUAUACAACAAUAUACGACCAACUCAUGAAGAAGUACAAAGACUUGAUUUGCAAAUGAUUGAGAAAUUUCAAUUAAAAAAAAGUUGAAAGUGGAUUUUCUCCAGAAAUUGCUGCAGAUUAUUUUGAUAAAAGACCUGUUGUCGACGUACAGUCACAAGUGAACCUCGAUAUACAAGGUUUUGAGGAAUUUAAUACGGUCUCUCCUACAGAAAUUCUCAAGAUGGCAGGUUUGAUUACUGAUGCUUCAACAUCUCAUCCGACUAAGAAGAGAAAAAUAGUCCGUUUUGAUUCCACAACUGCCGAGGAGAAAGUUUGUCAGAAAACACCAUCUUUUGUUUCAACAAGAACUGUGCCAACCCAAAAAAAUAACUUCUUCAGGUUUGGAGCAUGUUCAUGUCGAAAAGACUGUUUCAUCAUCGUCACUCAAGUCAGUUUGUCAGGACAAUUCUGAUGAAAAGUGAGAUGAUAUAAAGUUAUUUUUGCAAUCUUAGGUUGACACAAAAAUCAACUUUCUUCAUGAUCUAAUAGUCAAACAACAUCAAGACUCAAAUGAAAAAAUGGAUAAACAACAUGCGGAACUCAUCCAAAUGUUGAAACACAACAGCCAAAAAAAUAAAAAGGUACACC